GGCGGUGUAGCUCAGUUGGUUAGAGCAGCGGAAUCAUAAUCCGCGUGUCGGGGGUUCAAGUCCCUCCUCCGCUACCA
rnacentral:tRNA from 1 species